GUAUACUAUCUAGCGAUCACCAUGACGGAAUGUCUAGAGACUGGAACAACUGCGCGGCUGACGUUUCCGUUUCCCGCUAAAAUUCGACGUUACAAUUGUGUACGAUUUCCAUUUUAACUUGACAAUUUUAACUUACACUAUGCCCUCAAGUAUUUUACAAAAUGUUCCUAAUUAUUUUAUCGCUUUUACAUGUUUUCCUUCGACAUAUUCAUUCCGUUUUCACAC